CCGAUGACCGCCCUAGAGAUAGGGUUUCUCUUCGGAGCAUCGGUGACAGGUGGUGCAUGGUUGUCGUCAGCUCGUGUCGUGAGAUGUUGGGUUAAGUCCCGCAACGAGCGCAACCCCUAUUGUUAGUUGCCAUCAUUCAGUUGGGCACUCUAGCGAGACUGCCGGUAAUAAACCGGAGGAAGGUGGGGAUGACGUCAAAUCAUCAUGCCCCUUAUGACCUGGGCUACACACGUGCUACAAUGGCUGGUACAACGAGUCGCAAGUCGGUGACGGCAAGCUAAUCUCUUAAAGUCAGUCUCAGUUCGGAUUGUAGGCUGCAACUCGCCUACAUGAAGUCGGAAUCGCUAGUA
rnacentral:rRNA from 1 species